rnacentral:rRNA from 1 species
AGUGAACGCUGGCGGUAGGCCUAACACAUGCAAGUCGAACGGCAGCACAGUAAGAGCUUGCUCUUACGGGUGGCGAGUGGCGGACGGGCGAGGAAUACAUCGGAAUCUACUUUUUCGUGGGGGAUAACGUAGGGAAACUUACGCUAAUACCGCAUACGACCUACGGGUGAAAGCAGGGGAUCUUCGGACCUUGCGCGAUUGAAUGAGCCGAUGUCGGAUUAGCUAGUUGGCGGGGUAAAGGCCCACCAAGGCGACGAUCCGUAGCUGGUCUGAGAGGAUGAUCAGCCACACUGGAACUGAGACACGGUCCAGACUCCUACGGGAGGCAGCAGUGGGGAAUAUUAGACAAUGGGCGCAAGCCUGAUCCAGCCAUACCGCGUGGGUGAAGAAGGCCUUCGGGUUGUAAAGCCCUUUUGUUGGGAAAGAAAAGCAGCAGGUUAAUACCCCGCUGUUCUGACGGUACCCAAAGAAUAAGCACCGGCUAACUUCGUG